UACGUAGGGUGCAAGCGUUGUCCGGAAUUAUUGGGCGUAAAGAGCUCGUAGGCGGUCUGUCGCGUCGGCUGUGAAAACCCGGAGCUCAACUCCGGGCCUGCAGUCGAUACGGGCAAACUGGAGUGUUGCAGGGGAGACUGGAAUUCCUGGUGUAGCGGUGAAAUGCGUAGAUAUCUGGAGGAACACCGGUGGCGAAGGCGGCAUCCUGGACCGACACUGACGCUGAGGAGCGAAAGCCAGGGGAGCAAACGGG
rnacentral:rRNA from 1 species